rnacentral:antisense_RNA from 1 species
UGGAGACGCGGCUGCAGUUACCGGGUUUCUAAGGCGUCGUCCCCUGACGGGAAGGCGACGUUGGGGGGCGGCUGGGUUUACCCUUCGAGGAGUUAGAAAACACCAGGAAAAGGGUUGUUUCCACCUGGAAGAGAAAUGCUAGAGCAACACCCCAUCUUCCUCAGCAUUAUCAUCUGUCUCCGGAUGACAAUGAAAUUCACAGGACAUUGAUUGUCUUUUUAUCCCAUUGGACAUCAUGCUAGUCUACAAUACUGAUAACACCACGAUGAUAGGAUCUGAAGACCUGGAAGUACCAGAGACAGUUUCACCAUGUUGCCCAGGCUGGUCUUGAGCUGGGCGCAAGCAAUACUCCUGCCUUGGCCUGCCAAAGAGCUGGGAUUACUGGUAUCAGCAGGAAGAAGAGAUGGAAGCAGCGCCGUGGACCUUCAUGUCCUUCAGAGUGAGGGUGGGCUUGGGCCUUGCAGUGAGAGCAAGUAUCACCCAGGAUGGAGAUGGGAGGUAAUGGGCGGCCCCGACAGGUGCCUCCUACUGCUGACAGCAAGGAGAGAGUGAAGAGGCAGAAUUUCCUUGGUCUAGACUAGAGUCUGGGUCAUGGGCAUGGCAGUGCUUGAGCUUUUGACCAGAAGCAAGUGGACAUGGAUUUGAGCUUUGGGUAAGAAAGGAGACUUCUCUCCAGAGACCAUAGGGGCUGGCAGCUGAAGAAGGUGACUUGGCCUCUCUCUAGAGGGUGAAUGCAGGAUCAAUUCAAGGCCAUGAAGUGGACGCAGCUGGGAGAGCC